rnacentral:rRNA from 1 species
GUCUACGGCCAUGCCACCCCAAAUGUGUCUGAUCCCGUCUGAUCUCAGAAGCUAAACAGGAUCGGGCCUGGUUAGUACCUGGAUGGGAGACCACCUAGGAAGACCAGGUGCCGUAGGCA